CCUCGACUCGUAGGUUGGCAGAUGCUUGUGCUCAUUCCUGCCAGAGCGCAUCACAACCUACUUGAUUGAGGGG
rnacentral:pre_miRNA from 1 species